rnacentral:rRNA from 1 species
UGGGGAAUCUUUGGACAAUGGGGGCAACCCUGAUCCAGCCAUGCCGCGUGAGUGAUGAAGGCCUUAGGGUCGUAAAGCUCUUUCGCCUGUGAAGAUAAUGACGGUAGCAGGUAAAGAAACCCCGGCUAACUCCGUGCCAGCAGCCGCGGUAAUACGGAGGGGGUUAGCGUUGUUCGGAAUUACUGGGCGUAAAGCGCACGUAGGCGGACCAGAAAGUUGGGGGUGAAAUCCCGGGGGCUCAACCCCGGAACUGCCUCCAAAACUAUUGGUCUAGAGUUCGAGAGAGGUGAGUGGAAUUCCAAGUGUAGAGGUGAAAUUCGUAGAUAUUUGGAGGAACACCAGUGGCGAAGGCGGCUCACUGGCUCGAUACUGACGCUGAGGUGCGAAAGUGUGGGGAGCAAACAGGAUUAGAUACCCUGGGUAGUCCACACCGUAAAACGAUGAAUGCCAGUCGUCGGGUAGCAUCUAUUCGGUGACACACCUAACGGAUU